rnacentral:rRNA from 1 species
UAGGGAAUAUUGGACAAUGGGCGCAAGCCUGAUCCAGCCAUGCCGCGUGAGUGAAGAAGGCCCUCGGGUUGUAAAGCUCUUUUGUCCGGAAAGAAAAGCAUCGGGUUAAUACCCCGGUGUUCUGACGGUACCGGAAGAAUAAGCACCGGCUAACUUCGUGCCAGCAGCCGCGGUAAUACGAAGGGUGCAAGCGUUACUCGGAAUUACUGGGCGUAAAGCGUGCGUAGGUGGUUCGUUAAGUCUGAUGUGAAAGCCCUGGGCUCAACCUGGGAAUGGCAUUGGAAACUGGCGGACUGGAGUGCGGAAGAGGGUAGCGGAAUUCCCGGUGUAGCAGUGAAAUGCGUAGAGAUCGGGAGGAACAUCCGUGGCGAAGGCGGCUACCUGGACCAGCACUGACACUGAGGCACGAAAGCGUGGGGAGCAAACA